AAACCAACAGGGAUUGCCUCAGUAGCGGCGAGUGAAGCGGCAAGAGCUCAGAUUUGAAAUCGUGCUUUGCGGCACGAGUUGUAGAUUGCAGGUUGGAGUCUGUGUGGAAGGCGGUGUCCAAGUCCCUUGGAACAGGGCGCCCAGGAGGGUGAGAGCCCCGUGGGAUGCCGGCGGAAGCAGUGAGGCCCUUCUGACGAGUCGAGUUGUUUGGGAAUGCAGCUCCAAGCGGGUGGUAAAUUCCAUCUAAGGCUAAAUACUGGCGAGAGACCGAUAGCGAACAAGUACUGUGAAGGAAAGAUGAAAAGCACUUUGAAAAGAGAGUGAAACAGCACGUGAAAUUGUUGAAAGGGAAGGGUAUUGCGCCCGACAUGGGGAUUGCGCACCGCUGCCUCUCGUGGGCGGCGCUCUGGGCUUUCCCUGGGCCAGCAUCGGUUCUUGCUGCAGGAGAAGGGGUUCUGGAACGUGGCUCUUCGGAGUGUUAUAGCCAGGGCCAGAUGCUGCGUGCGGGGACCGAGGACUGCGGCCGUGUAGUCACGAUGC
rnacentral:rRNA from 1 species